GUGUGCUAGUAGUGAAUCAAGAAUCGUGCGUGCAUUGUGUAAUUUUUUCAGUAUGCAAGAACAUCAAACUAAAAUAUUUUUACUAUUUAUUUUGUUGGUUAAAAUAUCUCGUGCACAAGAAGGGCUGCAGAAAAAAGUGACAAGUAAGUUAUUGGAUCUGACCAAAGCUACUCACGUGCAAAAUUUGACCGGACCAAAGAAAGAGUGUUACGAAGAGGUUCUCAACAUCAUAGAUACCGUUCAAAUAGCUGUCACUGUAUGCUAUCCUCCCAGUCCCCGACCAAGGCUAUUCUUCAAGAAAUGCGAGGAACUCAUGAGGUUGGCUAAUUUGAUUGUUGACGACACCAAGUUUCAUUUUAAACAUUAUUGUUCAAAGUUUACUUAGGUAGGAAACAAAAGUAAAAGUUUUAAA